rnacentral:rRNA from 1 species
UACGUAGGGUGCGAGCGUUGUCCGGAAUUACUGGGCGUAGAGGGCUCGUAGGCGGCCAACUAAGUCAGACGUGAAAUCCCUCGGCUUAACCGGGGAACUGCGUCUGAUACUGGAUGGCUUGAGUUUGGGAGAGGGAUGCGGAAUUCCAGGUGUAGCGGUGAAAUGCGUAGAUAUCUGGAGGAACACCGGUGGCGAAGGCGGCAUCCUGGACCAACACUGACGCUGAGGAGCGAAAGCCAGGGGAGCAAACGGG